ensembl:ncRNA mir-4981 mir-4981 stem loop
UGGCCACGUGCCCGCAAGACGCCUUCGGCCGGCGCAAAGUUUCAAUUUGAUAUUCCUUGGCCGGUCGAGCAGCGUCUUGGGGUUGUUCGUGGAUU